CAGUUUAACCAACACACCAGGGGCCGCAGGGGAAAGCUCGUUCAAGAAUAGCCUGCAGGUGCGUAAAGAGAAUGUACAUUCAACUGCGGAUGGCUUACAAAACAGCCAUAAUUUCUUCGGGAAAAUACUACUCCUAUAUCCGUAGUAAUUCUAGAGCUAAUAGUGCCAACGCGAAGUUUCUUCGUGGUACUUAUUAUAGAUACAAACCAAUUUUUUUUGGUGCAUCACAAUAAUUUUUCUGAUCGCAUUCGUGCGACACCCCGUCAAAUUUCGACCUAUCAACUUCGGAUGGUAAGGUAGUGUCUUACCAGGUUGUGACGGGUAACGGACCGUGGGUGCGGGAUUCCGGAGAGGGAGCCUGAGAAACGGCUACCACCAUCCAGGAAGGCACAGGCGCGUAAAUUACCCAAUCCGCACCGGGAGGUAGUGACAAGAAAUAGCAAUAGGGGGCCCAAUGGGCUUCCUAAUUGGAAUGAGAACAAGAUAAACGGCUUAUCGAGGAGCCAGCAGAGGGCAAGUCUGGUGCCAGCAGCCGCGGUAAUUCCAGCCGUAAGCGUAUACCAAAGUUGUUGCAGUUAAAACGCUCGUAGUCGAGAUUUUGGCGGGCUCCGCAUUUUCUCCCGUGAGGAUGAUUUUGUGUCGGCCGCCUUUGUGGAUGGGGCUUGAGGUGCUUUAUUGAACGUCUUCCACCGCCACCGUUUACUGUGAAAAAAUUAGAGUGUUCAAAGCGGGCGUUUGCCAUGAAUCAUUAGCUUAAUGGAAUAAUAGAAUAGGACCUGGUCUUAUUCUGUUGGUUUGUUAAGUUCAGGUAAUGAUUAAGAGGGACGGUUGGGGGCAUUUGUAUUCCGGCGCUAGAGGUGAAAUUCUUGGAUUGCCGGAAGACAAACAGCUGCAAAGGCGUCUGCCAAGGACGUUUUCAUUGAUCAAGAACGAAAGUAAGGGGAAUUCGAAGACGAUCAGAUACCGUCGUAGUCUUUACUAUAAACGAUGAGGACUAGGGAUCGGGCGUGGCCAAACAUUUGUACGCUCGGCACCUUCCGGGAAACCAAAGUUUGCUUCGGGGAGAAUU
rnacentral:rRNA from 1 species